AAACAUCGCCUCUUGACAAAACAUAAGAGGUCCAGCCUGCCCAGUGACAAAGUUUAACGGCCGCGGUACCCUAACCGUGCGAAGGUAGCAUAAUCACUUGUUCUUUAAAUGGGGACUCGUAUCAACGGCACUACGAGGGCUAUACUGUCUCCUUUUUCUAAUCAGUGAAACUGAUCUCCCCGUGAAGAAGCGGGGAUUAAAAUAUAAGACGAGAAGACCCCAUGGAGCUUUAAACUCACCAUGCACCUCUGUGCCCCCCAUAUCCUUAAACACAACGGACCUGCAUGCUAGUUUUAGGUUGGGGUGACCACGGAGUACAACUUAACCUCCACAGCAAAUGGGCUAAUACCCUUAUCCACGAGACACAACUCUAAGAAUUAUUAUACUAAUGCUUAUUGACCCGAUAUUCGAUCAAUGAACCAAGUUACCCUGGGGAUAACAGCGCAAUCUACUUCAAGAGCCCAUAUCGACAAGUAGGUUUACGACCUCGAUGUUGGAUCAGGGUAUCCCGGUGGUGCAGCCGCUACCAAUGGUUUGUUUGUUCAACGAUUAAAACCCUACGU
rnacentral:rRNA from 1 species